AUUGAACGCUGGCGGCAGGCCUAACACAUGCAAGUCGAGCGGAUGAAGGGAGCUUGCUCCUGGAUUCAGCGGCGGACGGGUGAGUAAUGCCUAGGAAUCUGCCUGGUAGUGGGGGAUAACGUCCGGAAACGGGCGCCAAUACCGCAUACGUCCUGAGGGAGAAAGUGGGGGAUCUUCGGACCUCACGCUAUCAGAUGAGCCUAGGUCGGAUUAGCUAGUUGGUGGGGUAAAGGCCUACCAAGGCGACGAUCCGUAACUGGUCUGAGAGGAUGAUCAGUCACACUGGAACUGAGACACGGUCCAGACUCCUACGGGAGGCAGCAGUGGGGAAUAUUGGACAAUGGGCGGAAGCCUGAUCCAGCCAUGCCGCGUGUGUGAAGAAGGUCUUCGGAUUGUAAAGCACUUUAAGUUGGGAGGAAGGGCAGUAAGUUAAUACCUUGCUGUUUUGACGUUACCAACAGAAUAAGCACCGGCUAACUUCGUG
rnacentral:rRNA from 1 species